rnacentral:lncRNA from 1 species
GUGUGUGGUCAAUGUGUGGGUCAGGUGUGGGCAAGUGUGGGUCAGUGUUGGUCAAUGUGGGUCAAUGGUGUCAAUGUGUGGCAAUGUGUGUCAGUGUGUGGUCAGUGGUGGCGUCAAUGUGUGGGUCAAUGUGUGGGUCAGUGUGUGGGUCAAUGUGUGGGUCAAUGUGUGGGUCAGUGUGUGGGUCAAUGUGUGGGUCAAUGUGUGGGUCAAUGUGUGGGUCAUAUGUGGCUCAGUGUGUGGUCAAUAUGUGGCGUCAGUGGUGGUGUCAAAUAUGUAGGGUUCAGAU